rnacentral:rRNA from 1 species
UAAUACAGCCAUGCCACCCUGAACACGCCUGAUCUCGUCUGAUCUUGGAACCUAAGCAACAUCGGGCCUGGUUAGUAUUUGAGUGGGAGACCACCUAGGAAGACCAGGUGCUGUAGGUG